rnacentral:misc_RNA from 1 species
GUACCUUCAAGCUCUGCUUGGUGUUGGGUGUUUGUCCCGCCUUUGUGCGCGGACUCGCCUUAAAGCAAUUGGCAGCCGGCGUAUAGAUUUCGGAGCGCAGCACAAUCCGCGCUUUGUACUCAUUACGACGACAUCCAUCAAGACAUUUUUUAAC